UACGAAGGGGCUAGCGUUGCUCGGAAUCACUGGGCGUAAAGGGUGCGUAGGCGGGUCUUUAAGUCAGGGGUGAAAUCCUGGAGCUCAACUCCAGAACUGCCUUUGAUACUGAGGAUCUUGAGUUCGGGAGAGGUGAGUGGAACUGCGAGUGUAGAGGUGAAAUUCGUAGAUAUUCGCAAGAACACCAGUGGCGAAGGCGGCUCACUGGCCCGAUACUGACGCUGAGGCACGGAAAGCGUGGGAGCAAACAGG
rnacentral:rRNA from 1 species